rnacentral:misc_RNA from 1 species
CAGAGUUCAUGCCCUUCGGGGUAGACCUCCCACCCUUUGUAUACAUUGCCUUUGUUGCUUUGGCGGGCCGCCUUUUGGCCACCGGCCCCGGCUGGUGCGCGCCCGCCAGAGAACCCCAAACCCUGUCUUACAGUGUCGUCCGAGUACUAUAUAAUAGUUA